rnacentral:misc_RNA from 1 species
CUUUUGUAAAUCCAAUGGCAUUCACAUCCAUAUCUACGCCGCUGGUUGCAUCUUGCAUUUCUGUCAUUUGAAUAUUUUUAGAUAAUUUGUGUUUAUCUAUUUGUUUUUUUUUUCGUUGUUGUUACCGUGAAAAUGUUGUAGAGUAGCAUAAUAUUAUUUGAAUGAUAUUUGUCUUAAAAAAUAAGUUUGUGAACAUACAAAAAUGACGUGGGGCUUUGUAACUUGUGGACCAAAUGAAGCUCUAGUCAUUUCAGGAUGUUGUUAUGGCAAACCCCAUUUAGUGCCUGGUGGCAGGGCAUUUAUAUGGCCUGGCGUCCAAAGAAUACAAAGAAUUUCUUUAAAUACCAUGACACUAAUCGUUGAUAGCCCCACAGUGUACACUAGCCAAGGUGUUCCAAUUUCUGUCACUGGAAUAGCUCAGGUUAAAAUCCAAGGACAAAAUGAGGAGAUGCUCUUGGCGGCAUGCGAACAAUUUUUAGGAAAAUCCGAACAUGAAAUCGAACACAUUGCUUUAGUUACUUUGGAGGGGCAUCAGAGAGCUAUGAUGGGUUCCAUGACAGUCGAGGAAAUAUACAAAGAUCGAAAAAAGUUCAGUAAACAAGUGUUUGAAGUGGCUUCCUCUGAUUUAGUGAACAUGGGCAUUACAGUUGUUUCCUAUACAAUCAAAGAUAUCAGGGAUGAAGAGGGAUAUCUGAAAAGUCUUGGCAUGGCUAGAACAGCGGAAGUGAAGAGAGAUGCCAGGAUAGGAGAAGCAGAAGCUCGGGCUGACGCACAAAUUAAAGAGGCCAUCGCAGAGGAGCAGAGAAUGGCAUCGGUGUUUUUGAACGACACAGAAAUUGCCAAGGCGCGACGAGAUUUCGAAUUGAAGAAGGCAAUCUACGACAUUGAAGUACAAACGAAAAAUGCUGAAGCAGAAUUAGCUUAUGAACUACAAGCUGCCAAAACCAAACAGAAGAUCAAAGAAGAGGAAAUGCAAAUAUUGGUGGUGGAAAGGACACAACAAAUUGCAGUACAAGAACAAGAAAUGGGACGAAAAGAAAGAGAACUGGAAGCCACUGUCAGACGCCCAGCCGAAGCUGAAAAAUAUCGCCUAGAGAAAAUAGCUGAGGCGAAUCGCAAGAGACUUUUGCUUGAAGCUGAAGCAGAAGCGGAAGCUGUGAGAUUGAAAGGUGAAGCUGAGGCUUUUGCCAUCGAAGCUAAAGCCAAGGCCGAAGCUGAGCAAAUGGCGAAAAAAGCGGAAGCCUGGAAAGAAUACAAAGAGGCAGCUAUGAUUGACAUGUUUUUGGACGUCUUACCAAAGGUAACGGCCGAAGUGGCAGCUCCUCUUGCCCAAGCUAAGAAGGUCACCAUGGUAUCGACGGGUACUGGUGACGUCGGCGCUGCCAAACUGACCGGCGAAGUGUUGGACAUUGUCAGUAAAGUGCCAUUGUUAGUUAAAAAUAUGACUGGCGUUGAUAUUACCAAUGUAGUUAAGAAAUCAAAUAGAAGCAUUGGCGAUUUCUGAAUCGACUCGUUCAUUUAAAAUUAUCAUUAACACGUCCAUAAAAACACACUAAAAUAGACGGUGAAAGUGGCAUCAUAGGAGCAAAAAAUCAGCACAUUCCAAAGAUGUGGAUAUAUAUAAUGAAAUAAAUAUAAAAAUAUUUUUAUGGCUUAAAUUCUAAAAGAAAAUCUUCAAGGCGAGAUAUAAACUGUUUUCUAAAGUUUGACUCAUCUCUGGUUUUUCUGAAUGUGACGUGUCGAUAUAAUUAGUGUUUUAUUUUAGCACGUAAGCACUCUUGUUUAUUGUUACCACAAUAUUAUUUUUUUACUCUAUAGCAUAGCUUUUCUAGUCAAGCUAGUAUUAUUUGCGUGAUGUAAAAAUGGAUUUAUUGUUUUUAAGAUAUUAGAUUUGAUAAAAAUGAUUGUCUUAAAAAAAUAACUUGAUAUAUUUUUAAAGAUUAUUUGUGUAGUAAAUAAAUAUUGUUCUUACAAAA